CCUACGGGUGGCUGCAGUGGGGAAUAUUGCACAAUGGGCGCAAGCCUGAUGCAGCCAUGCCGCGUGUGUGAAGAAGGCCUUCGGGUUGUAAAGCACUUUCAGCGGGGAGGAAGGCGGUGGGGUUAAUAACCUCAUCGAUUGACGUUACCCGCAGAAGAAGCACCGGCUAACUCCGUGCCAGCAGCCGCGGUAAUACGGAGGGUGCAAGCGUUAAUCGGAAUUACUGGGCGUAAAGCGCACGCAGGCGGUCUGUCAAGUCGGAUGUGAAAUCCCCGGGCUCAACCUGGGAACUGCAUUCGAAACUGGCAGGCUAGAGUCUUGUAGAGGGGGGUAGAAUUCCAGGUGUAGCGGUGAAAUGCGUAGAGAUCUGGAGGAAUACCGGUGGCGAAGGCGGCCCCCUGGACAAAGACUGACGCUCAGGUGCGAAAGCGUGGGGAGCAAACAGGAUUAGAUACCCCAGUAGUC
rnacentral:rRNA from 1 species